CCAGUUGAAACUAAAUGCAACUAUUGAAACUAGUUAAAUACUGGUUGCUUGUAAAUCCAUCACUGCGUCCUGUAUCUACUUAAACAUAAUUUAAUCAUCACACUCAUUUUUAAAUGAUAGGUGUGUAAAUGUAGAUCAACAACCAAGUUCUAGAACUUUAAAGGGCUUGAGUUUCCUCCGCGUGCACUUCCUCUCUCAGAGUUUUAUGUUGAGGGUACCACGCAGUCAUUGGUACCACGCCGCUCGAUAAAACGUUUUGCUCUUUUGAGACCCCUCCUGUAGAGAUGCUUACUGGCUCAAAUCUAGUGGCAGCAGCCUCAGUAACACGUCCCCUUGGAGACUAGCAGGAGCAACACGUGAUGCGUCUUACUUAUCAGGUUUAGGGGAGAGGAUAGAGCAGCGCUUUGGGGACGGCCAGAGAGGAAAGCGAAAUAAGUGUUUUCCUCUCGUCUCUCAACUCUUUCUUCCUCUUUAGGAAUUUGGAAGAAAGAGAGGGGAACAAAGUUGUCUAACUUUGCACAUCCUCAGUAACGCCAUUUUGAUUCCUCUCCGGAACAACUUUGCAGCUUCUUUUUUUUUCUUAGCCCCUCAUCACCAUCAUCAGUAUGUCUCGGCGCAAGCAGCCCAACCCCAACAAAGUCGAACUGUGAUCAGUGGGUGCUGACACUCGAGGUGGGCAGGCAGGCCGUCGUCUCCCCCCCAGCCCUGAGCUCCGAGCCCAGACACCUUUUUUCCCUGGUCUCUCGACGGUGAUGGAGAGCACCACAGAGGGACACGCGUCCGGGGGAGGAGUGAGCGGCGAGCUGAGCACUGGGAGACCGACCACUCUGAGGAACAGGAGACCCCUGACUGCACACACACACAGGACAAACAC